AGGUAUUGUGGCCAGUAUUUUGGUUUUCUUAUGUUUUGGAGUCACACAAGCUAAAGACGGGCCAUUUUCCAGACCUCAUCCAGCUUACUGGAGGUUUUGGCUCUGCGUGAGUGUGGUCUACGAGCUGUUUCUCAUCUUUAUACUCUUCCAGACUGUCCAGGACGGCCGGCAGUUUCUAAAGUAUGUUGACCCCAAGCUGGGAGUCCCACUGCCAGAGAGAGACUACGGGGGAAACUGCCUCAUCUACGACCCAGACAAUGAGACUGACCCCUUUCACAACAUCUGGGACAAGUUGGAUGGCUUUGUUCCCGCGCACUUUCUUGGCUGGUACCUGAAG
rnacentral:misc_RNA from 1 species